rnacentral:rRNA from 1 species
GUGGGGAAUAUUGGACAAUGGGCGAAAGCCUGAUCCAGCCAUGCCGCGUGUGUGAAGAAGGUCUUCGGAUUGUAAAGCACUUUAAGUUGGGAGGAAGGGCAGUAAGUUAAUACCUUGCUGUUUUGACGUUACCGACAGAAUAAGCACCGGCUAACUUCGUGCCAGCAGCCGCGGUAAUACGAAGGGUGCAAGCGUUAAUCGGAAUUACUGGGCGUAAAGCGCGCGUAGGUGGUUUUGUAAGUUGGAGGUGAAAUCCCCGGGCUCAACCUGGGAACUGCCUCCAAAACUGCAUGACUAGAGUACGGUAGAGGGUAGUGGAAUUUCCUGUGUAGCGGUGAAAUGCGUAGAUAUAGGAAGGAACACCAGUGGCGAAGGCGACUACCUGGACUGAUACUGACACUGAGGUGCGAAAGCGUGGGGAGCAAACAGGAUUAGAAACCCGGGUAGUCA